UCCUGGCUGGCUCAGUUGGUGGAGCAUGCAACUCUUGAUUGCGGGGUUGUGAGUUCGAGCCCCACAUUGGGUA
rnacentral:tRNA from 1 species